UAUGCUUAGAUGAUUAUGCCUGACUCAUCACUGGUAGAAUUUAUAUAAGUUGGUGGCUAGGCCUCCCCUGAAUCCUAGUCUGAAACUGUAAUCCAGAUCAAAAGUAGAGGAAUACUACCGCCUUCCCAGUGCCUUGUUGCAUCAAGCGACUGAAUCGCUCAACAGCGCUGCUUCUGUGUGCUCAUUCCUCUGAUAAUUCCAAGACCCGGAGCUGGAUUUCACUAAUCAUUCCUGUUCUCAUGGUUGCACCUUGUGGCAAUGAACAGUGCUGCCAGUUCUUCCGAUCGUCAUAACCUGUCGCUGCUGCGUGUUUUCGGCCAAGGAAAGUGGGUCCUGAAGAGGGUCAGCACCGGAUAGCACUCCAUAAUACCAGUCCAAGGCACAAUCCUUACACCACCGCGAUUCCGGUCCCAAACACACAAAUUUGUUGGAAAGUUCGUCCUGUGGCUGGUCGAGCCAAAGGAAGAGGCACAGAGCAACGAGGAAAUGGCAAGUGAAGUUCAGAGCCUGAGAGCUGCUGGAGCCAGUAACCACAUGACCUUUUCACUAUGCCUGAUCACGGCUUGCCUCCUGAACAUAACAACCUUGCCACCUGACCCGGAGCAAGGCAGCUACAUCAUUCUCUGGUUUAAUCUGGCCGUCGGAUAUCUGCUGGCAAUGGCCUCAGUGUUCUCAGCCAACGCAAAAACAAAGGCAGUAGUGGCGAAAAUGAGUGGUAUCUCAGCCUUGCUUUCCAUGGUUCUGGUUAUGAUGGGAGAACUCAGCCGCACACCGAUGCUCAGUAGGUGCUUAAUGUUCAGGCAUGUAACUGGGUUCAGUGACAGUUCUUGCAGAAGGAAUCCUUCAGCAAAGUGGCCAACACAUGUAUGUACAAAAUACAAAACUAGUUUGUGUUUGCAUUAUAUAUUCACAUUAUGCUGUAUUGCAAUAUGGUUCAGUAUGUAUAAAGUUGUAAAAUUUGUUGGAUGAUAGACGUUCUGUGAAUUAUGUGGCA